rnacentral:tRNA from 1 species
GGAGAGGUGCCUGAGUGGUUGAAAGGGCNCGCCUGGAAAGCGAGUAUACGGGCAACCGUAUCGGGGGUUCGAAUCCCCCUCUCUCCGCCA